UUCCGGUUGAUCCUGCCGGACCCCACUGCUAUCGAGAUGGGACUAAGGUAUGCUAGUCGAACGACCAGAACUAUGUCUGGGAGUGGCACACUGCUCAGUAACACGUAGCUAACCUACCCUUAGGACGUGGAUACCCCCGAGAAAUUGGGGUUAAUCCGCGAUAGAUGUAAUGUCCUGGAAUGGUAUUACGUCUAAAGGUAUUUCAUACAUGUUUGAAAUAUGCCUAAGGAUGGGGCUGCGGCCGAUCAGGCUGUUGGUGAGGUAAUGGCUCACCAAACCUUUGACCGGUACGGGCCAUGAGAGUGGUAGCCCGGAGAUGGACACUGAGACAAGGGUCCAGGCCCUAAGGGGCGCAGCAACCGCGAAACCUCCACAAUGCACUCACGUGCGAUGGGGCUAUCUCGAGUGCCACCUGAUGAAGGUGGCUUUUCCUUGGUCUUCAAAGCCUUGGGAAUAAGAGGGGGGCAAGACUGGUGUCAGCCGCCGCGGUAACACCAGCCCCUCGAGUGGUGGGGAUGAUUAUUUGGCCUAAAGCGUCCGUAGCCGGCCGUGAAAGUCUUCCGUUAAAUCCAGCGUCUCAAGCGUUGGACCGCGGGAGAUACUACAUGGCUAGAGAGUGGGAGAGGUCAGCGGUAUUCUGGGGGUAGGGGCGAAAUCCUUUGAUCCCCGGAGGACCACCAGUGGCGAAGGCUGCUGACUAGAACACGUCUGACGGUCAGGGACGAAAGCUGGGGUAGCGAACCGGAUUAGAUACCCGGGUAGUCCCAGCCGUAAACGAUGCAUGCUAGGUGUUGGGUUGGC
rnacentral:rRNA from 1 species